CAGCCGCCGCGGUAAUACGAGGGGGGCAAGCGUUGUUCGGAAUUAUUGGGCGUAAAGGGUGCGUAGGCGGUUUGACAAGUCUUAUGUGAAAUCUUCGGGCUCAACCCGAAGUCUGCAUGAGAAACUGUUGAGCUUGAGUAUGGGAGAGGUGAGUGGAAUUUCCGGUGUAGCGGUGAAAUGCGUAGAUAUCGGAAGGAACACCUGUGGCGAAAGCGGCUCACUGGACCAUAACUGACGCUGAGGCACGAAAGCUAGGGGAGCAAACAGGAUUAGAUACCCGCGUAGUCCCUGUCUCUUAUAA
rnacentral:rRNA from 1 species